UAUCGACAAAAAAUAAACUCGUCAUAAGUAUAAUUAAUUAUUCAAGUGACAAUUGAUUUAGUUGAUGUACUUCGUCCUCGCCAGCGGUAAUUUAAAAAAAAACGAACUGAUAAAGUCAUAAAGGACCUCGGCUGAGUAGAAUAAUUAAUUUUUUAUACAUAUAUACGUAUUAUUAAUAUUUAUAUGUAACAAUUAACUCUAAAAUAAUAAAUCAAAGACAAUGCAAGGAUUUUUUUUAUAUUUUUUGAUGGAUGUAAGGCCUCGGGCCUUUUUGAAAGGUCCAUCCUUGUUAUUGAGAGCGAGGUUUUUUAAAGUUAUGACAUAUGGAUUUAUCGAGUGUAAAGAUCAUUAAUAAGACAGCUGACAUAAGGAAAUAGUGUUUUUAUUAAACUAUACAACGAAUAAAACUGGAUUUUUUUCCUGGCCGCGUUAUCCGCGGAUGACCUUGACAAAGAAUGUGAUAAAAAAAAAAAUUAACACGAGUGUUGUAAGAUAAAUCAACAAGUGUCUAAUUAUAACUUUUAAAAUUUAAAUCCGUUUAUUUUUUACUUUUUAUUAUUAUUUAUUACUUUACUUUUUAUUAUUUAAAUUUACGACGGUUAUGAAAUUAUUUUGUCCCAGUUUAUAAAUUACUAUUGUAUUUAAAAAUUUAUUUUUAAAUUUAAUAUCGAAAAUUAUUGUAAUUAUUUUGGAUGGCAAAUUGUUCAGUUAUCGGAUUUUGAUAUUCUACCCAGCAAUUAAAUCCAAAGGACCUUCUGUCUGCUACUAUUCUAUUCAGUGUAUAAAGAACUAAGUCAGGUCAGGUACUAAGUCCUUUCUGGACUACGACUACGUCACUUGAGGAAAAUUAAUAGCCAAGGGUUCAUACCCCAUACCAGGACUCUCGAGUACACGAAGGCUUUCAAAUGUCCGUGGAUACGGUUGCCGUGUAAUGUUUCUUGAACCUGUCCAUUUUAUACCUGGGUAAGGUGUUCUAGUCUCCAGUCAGUCGAUCGAUAGUUAAAAAAAAAAUAUAUAUAUUUUAUUAUAAAAGAAAAAUGUAAAAACUUGUAGCAGUAAAAUGAUAAAUAAAAUGAAUUUUUCAAUUCAAAAAUAAAAUUAACUGGACUUUGGUCCGCAGGUUA